AUAAACUUGUGGUACUGAUUACGUGCCUGCAUGGAGGCUAUUGAGAAUCAUUAUCCGAACAUGACCUGGACUAUUUUGUUAUUAAUUAGUCUUAUUAUGGGCCGUCACUACAUUUGACCUACACCCCUAUUUAAAUUAAAUUAGGGUAGCUUUUUUUUAAUAAGGGCUAAAAUACUAUACUAACUAAAAAAAUUAUGAGAAGAAAAUUGUGAAUUAUAUAUAUCGGGGCAUGCAAUAAUGUUACUCAUAUUAGCUUUAUUUACCAAAAAAAUAAAAAAAUAUUUAAUGGCAAACAAGAAUAAUCGGAUUUAAUAAAAUUACGAAAAUGUUUUAAGUUGAGUAUGUAUAGUGAGACGCGAAAUAUCAGGAAUAUGUUUUAUACUCUCUAUAUAAAACAUAUUCUUAAGCUUCAACCAUCAGAUUAAACUUUUGGUUGAGAUAGUCCUAUAACAUGGUAUCGGAGCUAGCGUGACACAAAAGUCACGGGUUCGAAUUUCAUCCACCACUAACUUUCAAGUGGAAUAUUAAGCACAUGCAUGGUAUGAGAAGAGCCCAUGCUGCAUCUCGUGUGUGUGUGGGGGGGGAGGAGUUUCUUUCAAGAUAGCUGGAGCUCAUUCGCGAGUUCUAUCAGGUAAAGCCAAUGAUUAGAGGCUUGGGGGCGCAAUGCCCUCGACCUAUUCUCAAACUUUAAAUAGGUAGGGCGGCGCGACUGCUUUGUUGAGCCAUGUCAUGGAAUCGAGAGCUCCAAGUAGGCCAUUUUUGGUAAGCAGAACUGGCGAUGCUGGAUGAACCGGAAGCCGAGUUAUGUUGCCUAACUACGCGCUAACCUAGAUUCCACAAAGGGUGUUGGUCGAUUAAGACAGCCGACGGUGGUCAUGGAAGUCGAAAUCCGUUAAGGAGUGUGUAACAACUCACCUGCCGAAUCAACUAGCCUCGAAAAUGGAAGGCGCUAAUGCGUGUAACCUAUACCUAGCCGUCGGGGCAAGUGUCAGGCCCUGAUGAGUAGGAGGGUGCACCGGUCACUGCAAAACCUAUGGCGUGAGCCAGGGCAGAGCGGUCGUUGGUGUAGAUCUUGGUGGUAGUAGCAAAGAUUCAAAUGAGAGCUUUGAGAGCCGAAGAGGGGAAAGGUUCCAUGUGAACGACACUUGCACAUGGGUUAGUCGAUCUUAAGAGACAGGGGAAGCCUGUCCGAUAGCGCGUUUCGCGCGAGCUUCGAAAGGAAAUCGGGUUAAAAUUCCUGAACCGGGACGUGGCGGUUGACGGCAACGUUAGGAAGUUUAGAGACGUUGGCGGGGGCCUUGGGAAGAGUUAUCUUUUCUGUUUAACAGCCUUCCCAUCCUGGAUCGGCUCAACCGGAGGUAGGGUCCAGUGGCUGGAAGAGCACCGCACGUUUUGUGGUGUCCGGUGCGCCCCCGGCGGCCCUUGAAAAUCUGGAGGACCGAGUGCCGACUACGCCCGGUCUUACUCAUAACCUAAGGUCUGCUUUGCGGACCGAUCUAGGCGGAGGACAUUGUCAGGUGGGGAGUUUGGCUGAGGUGGCACAUUUGUUGAAAGAUAACGUAGGUGUCCUAAGAUGAGCUUAACGAGAACAGAAAUCUCGUGUGGAACAUAAGGGUAAAAGCUCGUUUGAUUUUGAUUUUCAGUACGAAUACGAAUUGUGAAAGAGUGGCCUAAAAAUCCUUUAGACCUUUUGAAUUUAAAGCCAGAGGUGUCAGGAAAGUUACCACAGGGAUAAUUGCCUUGUGGCAGCCAAGCAUUCAUAGCAACGUUGCUUUUUUAUCCUUCGAUGUCGGCUCUUCCUAUCGUUGUGAAGCACCAAGUGUUGGAUUGUUCACCCACCAAUAGGGACCGUGAGAUGGGUUUAUAUCGUCGUGAGUCAAGUUAGUUACCCUAUUGAUUCACACAAUUGGUCCUCGCGCUUGGUUGAAAAGCCAUGCUCGCCCCCCAAUUGUCGUCCUACAGUAAGGGAUUCAACCCCCAAAGGCCAUGUUGUAGGCUAAGCUCGCACGGUGGAUGUGCCGUGAGAGCCGCUUUGAAGUAUAAUCCCUAUCCAGCGGCGGGUUGAAUCCUUUGCAGACGACUUAAAUACACGACGGGGUAUUGUAUGUGGCAGAGUGGUCUUGCUGCCACGAUACACUGAGAUUCAGCCCUAUGUCACUUUGAUUCGUCCCUCCUCC
rnacentral:rRNA from 1 species